GACGAACGCUGGCGGCGUGCUUAACACAUGCAAGUCGAACGGAAAGGCCCUGCUUUUGUGGGGUGCUCGAGUGGCGAACGGGUGAGUAACACGUGAGUAACCUGCCCUUGACUUUGGGAUAACUUCAGGAAACUGGGGCUAAUACCGGAUAGGAGCUCCUGCUGCAUGGUGGGGGUUGGAAAGUUUCGGCGGGUGGGGCUGGACUCGCGGCUUCUCAGCCUGUUGGGGGGGGAGUGGCUCACCAGGGCUUUGACGGGUAGCCGGCCUGGGAGGGUGCCCGGCCAGAGUGGGACGGAGAUACGGCCCAGAGUCGUACGGGAGGCAGCAGUGGGGAAUAUUGCACAAUGGGCGGAAGCCUGAUGCAGCAACGCCGCGUGCGGGAUGACGGCCUUCGGGUUGUAAACCGCUUUCGCCUGUGACGAAGCGUGAGUGACGGUAAUGGGUAAAGAAGCACCGGCUAACUACGUG
rnacentral:rRNA from 1 species